rnacentral:tRNA from 1 species
UAAUAGUAGUUCGACGCAAUCCCGAUCGGCGAUAUCGAUGCGUGUGUGAUCAGCGC